GAUGAACGCUAGCGGGAGGCUUAACACAUGCAAGUCGAGGGGCAGCAUAGGGUAGCAAUACUCUGAUGGCGACCGGCAAACGGGUGAGUAACGCGUAUGCAACCUACCCUGUACAGGGGGAUAACCCGGAGAAAUUCGGACUAAUAUCCCGUAAUAAUAUCCGGAGGCAUCUUUGGAUAUUUAAAGUUCCGACGGUACGGGAUGGGGCAUGCGUAACAUUAGCUGGUUGGUAAGGUAACGGCUUACCAAGGCUAUGAUGUUUAGGGGUCCUGAGAGGGUGGUCCCCCACACUGGUACUGAGACACGGACCAGACUCCUACGGGAGGCAGCAGUGAGGAAUAUUGGUCAAUGGGCGCAAGCCUGAACCAGCCAUCCCGCGUGCAGGAAGACGGCCCUAUGGGUUGUAAACUGCUUUUCCAGGGAGAGAAACUUACGCACGUGUUGCGUGACUGACGGUACCCUGGGAAUAAGCAUCGGCUAACUCCGUGCCAGCAGCCGCGGUAAACCGAGAGUA
rnacentral:rRNA from 1 species